GGGCUAAAAUGCAGAGUCCUGGGCCCAGUUCCAGACCUGCUGAAUCAGAAUAUCUGGGGGGUUGGGCCAAGGAAUUAGAAUAUGAAGGGAUCUUAGGGGUCUUGGAGAUCUGAGUGGUACCUAGAGAGAGGAAGUGACUUUCCCCAGGUCCCAGGGUGAUUUGGGACUAGGAUCAAGAUCUUCUAGACUAGCUUACAUGCUUGUUCUCAGUCGCUUCAGUCAUGUCUGACUCUUUGUGACCCUAUGGACUAUAGCAGGCCAGACUCCUCUAUCCACGGAAUUCUUCAGGCAAGAAUACUGGAGUGGAUUGCUAUGCCCUCCCCUCCAGGGGAUCUUCUUGACCCAGGGAUCAAACCCAUGUCUCCUGUGUCUCCUGCAUUGCAGGCCAAUUCUUUACUGCUGAGCCAUCAGGACUUAAAGCAUUACUGCCUGCAAGGCCAACCCACUUCCUAGCCCAGUCACCAGGGAGACAAAUGUGUGACUGCACUUCUGGCGGGGAUGACCACCUCUGGAGGGAGGAGCCUGCCCUUGAGUUGGAGCACAGCCCAACACACCCAGCCCACACAUAAGAAAAGGACACCCCCUCCCGGAGGAGGAGUGCUGUGGCACUGAGCACCCUCUCACCCUCCAGAGACAGCUGAGGGGGCGGCUGGAGUUUGGGAAGAGUUGGCAAAGUGAUGAUCAGGCCGGGCGAGGGGCGGAGGCAGUUAAUAGUGAGGAGGACUGGGGUUGGGGGAAGGUAAACUGAGCACCCAAAUCCUGUUGCUAAUGAAACAGUUCCCUGCCUGCCCAACCCCAAGGCUCCAUGUCGAGGAAAUGGGACCC
ensembl:lncRNA